rnacentral:rRNA from 1 species
GACGAACGCUGGCGGCGUGCUUAACACAUGCAAGUCGAACAAUGAAAGAGGAGCUUGCUCCUCUGGAUUAGUGGCGAACGGGUGAGUAACACGUGAGCAAUGUGCCCUUGACUCUGGAAUAAGCGCUGGAAACGGCGUCUAAUACCGGAUACGACCUUCGGAGGCAUCUCCUGUUGGUGGAAAGAACUUCGGUCAAGGAUCAGCUCACGGCCUAUCAGUUAGUUGGUGAGGUAACGGCUCACCAAGACGACGACGGGUAGCCGGCCUGAGAGGGUGACCGGCCACACUGGGACUGAGACACGGCCCAGACUCCUACGGGAGGCAGCAGUGGGGAAUAUUGCACAAUGGGCGCAAGCCUGAUGCAGCAACGCCGCGUGAGGGACGACGGCCUUCGGGUUGUAAACCUCUUUUAGCAGGGAAGAAAGCGAAAAGUGACGGUACCUGCAGAAAAGCC